AUAGCCUCAGUAACGGCGAGUGAAGCGGCUACAGCUCAAAUUUGAAAUCUGGCCUCCUUUGGGGGUCCGAGUUGUAAUUUGCAGAGGAUGCUUUGGCAUUGGCGGCGGUCUAAGUUCCUUGGAACAGGACAUCGCAGAGGGUGAGAAUCCCGUACGUGGGCGCCUGCCUUUGCCGUGUAAAGCUCCUUCGACGAGUCGAGUUGUUUGGGAAUGCAGCUCUAAAUGGGAGGUAAAUUUCUCCUAAAGCUAAAUACCGGCCAGAGACCGAUAGCGCACAAGUAGAGUGAUCGAAAGAUGAAAAGUACUUUGGAAAGAGAGUCAAAUAGCACGUGAAAUUGUUGAAAGGGAAGCGCUUGCAGCCAGACUUGCCCGCAGUUGCUCACCUAGGCUUUCGCCUGGGGCACUCUUCUGCGGGCAGGCCAGCAUCAGUUUGGGCGGUCGGAUAAAGGCCUCUGUCAUGUACCACCCCUCGGGGUGGCCUUAUAGGGGAGGCGUAAUGCGACCAGCCCGGACUGAGGUCCGCGCAUCUGCUAGGAUGCUGGCGUAAUGGCUGUAAGCGGCCCGUCUUGAAACACGGACCAAGGAGUCUAACAUCUAUGCGAGUGUUUGGGUGUCAAGCCCGGGCGCGCAAUGAAAGUGAACGGAGGUGGGAACCCUUCGGGGUGCACCAUCGACCGAUCCUGAAGUCUUCGGAUGGAUUUGAGUAAGAGCAUAGCUGUUGGGACCCGAAAGAUGGUGAACUAUGCUUGAAUAGGGUGAAGCCAGAGGAAACUCUGGUGGAGGCUCGCAGCGGUUCUGACGUGCAAAUCGAUCGUCAAAUUUGGGCAUAGGGGCGAAAGACUAAUC
rnacentral:rRNA from 1 species